rnacentral:rRNA from 1 species
AUUGAACGCUGGCGGCAGGCCUAACACAUGCAAGUCGAGCGGAUGAAGGGAGCUUGCUCCUGGAUUCAGCGGCGGACGGGUGAGUAAUGCCUAGGAAUCUGCCUGGUAGUGGGGGAUAACGUCCGGAAACGGGCGCUAAUACCGCAUACGUCCUGAGGGAGAAAGUGGGGGAUCUUCGGACCUCACGCUAUCAGAUGAGCCUAGGUCGGAUUAGCUAGUUGGUGGGGUAAAGGCCUACCAAGGCGACGAUCCGUAACUGGUCUGAGAGGAUGAUCAGUCACACUGGAACUGAGACACGGUCCAGACUCCUACGGGAGGCAGCAGUGGGGAAUAUUGGACAAUGGGCGAAAGCCUGAUCCAGCCAUGCCGCGUGUGUGAAGAAGGUCUUCGGAUUGUAAAGCACUUUAAGUUGGGAGGAAGGGCAGUAAGUUAAUACCUUGCUGUUUUGACCUUACCAACAGAAUAAGCACCGGCUAACUUCGUG